GAAGGAGUAUACAAAUCAAAAAACUUAAACUACGUUGGCCCUUGUGGUUCGCGAAUGAGUUUCUUACAAAAAAUAACUCAUCUUUAACUUUGGGCAUUUGACAAGCAUUUGGUAUUCAAGGGAAUUAUUGUAUCAAAAAUCAAUAAAUACAACUCUGCGCUUUGAUGUCAGGAAAUAAAAUUUGCGUGUGCAAAAUGUAAAAAGUCCGAAAGGGGUAAAGUGGGAAGUCUACGGGAAGAAAGUACAUAUUGCUAGAAUGCCAUCUAAUGUUUUAAUUAAUUCCAAUAAUAAUUUGGUUAAAAAUGCUAUGCCAAAGGAUAACAAAAAAAAACAUAUUUAUACAGACGCAAUAAAGAGGCACUUUUCUUACCAAAAUGUUAUUCGGGAUAUAGUCUGGGAAUUUCAUUUUCAAGGAAUGCGAAGAAUCACAGAUGAAAAAGGAGCCAAGCUCAGAUUUCGUUUUGGCUGAAAAUCGCACAAACUAAUUGGUUAUACACAAGAAUAUAUGCUCAACUGUCUUCGCUACAUUUAUGAUGACACGGCACUUGAAUCUUUGACCGACAGAAAUAUCUUUACAUUUAACAUAAACAAGAAAAUAUAAAUCAAUGUAUUCUUAUUCACUUUUAAACACUCAAAUGUGCUAAUAAACUAUUUGUGUUUAUUUUGCAAUUUCUUUAUGGGUGUUUGGGAAAUAUACGCGCAAAAAAGCCGCCUAGAAAAAAAUGUAAGCUCUGUGCCCACACAUUGAAACGCGAUACGAAACUAGACGACUCGCUUGUUUGGUGUGUGGAUUGAGCUCACAAAACGUGGCUCGGCGACUCGUCUGACUUCA